UCUGGCUGGAGCUUGUUCCUCCC
rnacentral:misc_RNA from 1 species